UUCUUGAAGGGGAAUAGGGUGGAAUACUGAUGUAGUGUCAUUUUUAUGAACUUCUGCUAACUGCACUUUUAAUAUGUUGUUUUGAACGGGCAUUAUUAUGGAUUGAGGUCCUAAUUGACUGCACAGGCUAGACGGAAAUUAGAAGGAACUUUUUCUUUCUAAACUUUAGGUUUGUGCCUUUUGGUGAUCAUGGUCUUUGUACUGUGGGAAUGAUACUUGGGAAACAUCUACAUUUUGGUGACACACUUAGUAGCAUUGGUGAUUAUACUUUUCGUUUGCAAAACCAAGAAGGGAAGGUGGAGUGUAGAUUCCUAGAAGAUACUCAAAGUUUUCCCCUUUAUAUGCCUUCGUGUCAUGACUUUCCUGAUGGGAUCAGAUCAAAAUUGUUUGCUUGGGCCAUUUUGGUUUAUCAAUGACCCAAGUAUUGCAAAAGGAGUGAUUUACUGGUGAAUAUGAUACAUUUGAAGAUUUAGAUGUCUACACAUUAAUUGAUAAGAUCCAUUUCUCUAUAUCUAUCUCUUUUUUAGUGUUGAAAGUAUUUUUGGCUGGAAAAGUUUGAAGUUCAUGUACAAGCUCUGUGAUAAGCAUCACAAUAUAGUUGGUUGAACUUGCUCACAUGCCAUAUGUAUUUAAUAUUUGAUAUCUUAAUUUUUAUGCCCUUUAUUGUGUCCUGCAUGGUGAUGCACUGCAUUUUCUUUCCACUGAGUUAUGUGCGAGGCAUAUUUAUUCAUGUAUAUAGAAUUAUUAAGCUAGUCUGAAUGAAUGCCUGAUUCAUGGGUUUGUAGAUAAUGAUAUCAGUUAAGAUAUCUUUAACUAAGUCGGGCACCUUAACUUUUUGCUGGUUUCUUAAGGAAGUACUCACAAUUUGUUUUCUGGGUGAAUAGCAAAUUUUGUUAAUUUUUUUCUUUUUAUUUUAACUUUUUUUUUUGGG
rnacentral:misc_RNA from 1 species